rnacentral:sRNA from 2 species
CGGACGGUCGCGCCGAGCCUCGCUCCACCCCCGGACGUGACACGAACUUUCAGGAGCGAGGACGGGGGACCCACCCUCAUCACGAGACCGGGCAUCGGACCACCGAUGCCCUUGGGGUCAAGCCGGGUGCACGACACCUGGCCGAGCAACCUCUCGCUCGAACCCGACAGCUGACUUCGUAGGCGCGUGGAGAGAGGAAUC